AUUGAACGCUGGCGGAAUGCUUUACACAUGCAAGUCGAACGGUAACAGGUCUUCGGAUGCUGACGAGUGGCGAACGGGUGAGUAAUAUAUCGGAACGCGCCCAGUCGUGGGGGAUAGCGUAGCGAAAGUUACGCUAAUACCGCAUACGAUCUACGGAUGAAAGCGGGGGAUCGCAAGACCUCGCGCGAUUGGAGCGGCCGAUAUCAGAUUAGGUAGUUGGUGGGGUAAAGGCUCACCAAGCCAACGAUCUGUAGCUGGUCUGAGAGGACGACCAGCCACACUGGAACUGAGACACGGUCCAGACUCCUACGGGAGGCAGCAGUGGGGAAUUUUGGACAAUGGACGCAAGUCUGAUCCAGCCAUUCCGCGUGCAGGAUGAGGGCCCUCGGGUUGUAAACUGCUUUUGUACGGAACGAAAAGGUUUCCAUUAAUACUGGGAGCUCAUGACGGUACCGUAAGAAUAAGCACCGGCUAACUACGUGCCAGCCGCCGCCGUAA
rnacentral:rRNA from 1 species